GGAUUUCAGCUUGAGGUCUCAAUGGGCUUCAAACCCGGUGGAGGGUGUUAGCCACUCUCGGGUUGGUUCGACUCCAGCUGCUUUCCGCCA
rnacentral:tRNA from 1 species